ACGUCACUCUUGUAGCAGUUGUCUCAAAGGGCACGUCACUCUUGUAGCAGUCAGUGGUCUCAAAGGGCACGUCACUCUUGUAGCAGUCAGUGGUCUCAAAGGGCACGUCACUCUUGUAGCAGUCAGUGGUCUCAAAGGGCACGUCACUCUUGUAGCAGUUGUCUCAAAGGGCACGUCACUCUUGUAGCAGUCAGUGGUCUCAAAGGGCACGUCACUCUUGUAGCAGUCAGUGGUCUCAAAGGGCACGUCACUCUUGUAGCAGUCAGUGGUCUCAAAGGGCACGUCACUCUUGUAGCAGUCAGUGGUCUCAAAGGGCACGUUACUCUUUUAGCAGACAGUGGUCUCAAAGGGCACGUCACUCUUGUAGCAGUCAGUGGUCUCAAAGGGCACGUCACUCUUGUAGCAGGCACGUCACUCUUGUAGCAGUCAGUGGUCUCAAAGGGCACGUCACUCUUUUAGCAGACAGUGGUCUCAAAGGGCACGUCACUCUUGCAGCAAACGGUUGCUGAGUUGAGAUUGUGCCUUAAUCUAAAAAGACGCCAUUUCCAAAAGAAAAUAGACCAUUGCGUUAGCAUGUUGGGAUGGAAGAGUUCUGUGAGUGGUAUGUUUAGACACAUGGGUGUGUGGGGUUUUGGUGUGAGGGUGUGAACGUCUUUUGAUCUGGACUUCUCAUUCAAACAGUUGAAACACUGAAUCUGGUUAGUCCAGAGUCACUGUUGGAUAGCUGACUCCCAGCGUCACUGUUGGAUAGCUGACUCCCAGUGUCACUGUUGUGUACCUGACUCCCAGCGUCACCGUUGUGUAGCUGACUCCCAGCGUCACUGUUGUGUACCUGACUCCCAGCGUCACUGUUGUGUACCUGACUCCCAGCGUCACUGUUGUGUAGCUGACUCCCAGCGUCACUGUUGUGUAGCUAACUGCAAAAAAAAAAAGACAAUCAUGUUUCUAAACCAACUCAUCUUCAUGUUUUGGAGCAAAGGCUGGUGAUUUGAAGGCUUGUGAUUGUAAUAAAAGUCACUAGUCAUGGACGUGGUUCACACUUCUUCAGAUGGCAUAGAUCACGUGCUGACAAUUGAACCCUAAACCUGAUCUUGAACCCUAAACCUGAUCUUGAACCCUAAACCUAAGCAAGUUAAGAUCACAAGUGAAACCUCAGGUACCUAAUGCACAAGAAAACCAAAAUCUAAAACCGUUUGCUUGAAAUACUUAACUUAGCUUUUAAUCUAGUGUUGGUUCUUGUAAAUAGUUUUAUUACGUUUCUCUUUUGGUAACGGCAUUUUAUUUUUGGUCACAAAAAUAUUUUCACAUCGCAUUUUAUGGUCACUUCGUUUUUAUUAUUUAUUUACAACUUUUGGUAGCAAAAACAUUGUAUAAAUGUCAUUCAAAUUUUCACCAUGGUGUCAUUUAAACCUCACACCGACGGCAGCAGAAUUGUGAUUCAUGUACAUCAACCAUUUUAAUAAUUGUGUUUCUGUGUUUGUAUAAGUUUAAAUAUGUGAUGUAAAUACGACAUCAAUGUAAACACUUUUCUAGCUAAAUUAAAAGUCACAUAAAGAGUGUAGUGAGGGGUUGUCUAUAAUUAUCACCAGGCUACUUAAUGAAUGGCUACUCUGGCAAGCUUAAUUACAGGUCAGUGAGUGGGUUUCAAGAAAACUUGAGUACGAGUUAGCUCAAGUUAGAGACAUUUACUUAUAAGACAGAAGUUUCUAAAUGGCUUUAGAUUAGGUAUAAUCUAAAAUGUUUAGGACCAGUUAAUUAAUAAUAUAUAUUUUACGACACAUUUUGUAAUAAGGUCGCAUAUUGUGUCAAUGUCUAAACGCCAGAUGUCUAUAUCGUGUAUAGACAACCCCCGAACUCAAACUGUAAUAAUAAUUAUAUAUUACAUGUCUUGAUAUGUAUUGCUUGCUCGUGUUUUAUUUGAAAAUGAUCUGAAUUUUAUGAGAUCUCAAACAAGGCAUAAGUUUAGCCGAGGAAGAUCUGAAUUUUAUGAGAUCUCAAGAAAAAGUUAGAACGAAUAUGAUCUGAAUUUUAUGAGAUCUCAAGAAAAAGUUAGAACGAAUAGGAUCUGAGUUUUAUGAGAUUUCAAGCAAGGCAGAAGUUUAGCCAAAUAUGAUCUGAAUUUGAUGAGAUCUCCAACAAGCCAAUGGUUUAACUGUAUCUCAAACACGACAAAAGGUUUAGCUGUGUAGGAUCAACCACCUAUCUAUCUGUAUGCUAUCUUUUUCUGAAGAUUCCACUAACAUUUCUUGUUUAAAGAAAUGCAUUCAAGGCACUGUUUUUAUGAUAUUUAAUUAUGACAAUAAAAAUUAAGACAUAU